rnacentral:rRNA from 1 species
AACGAACGCUGGCGGCAUGCCUAACACAUGCAAGUCGAACGAGACCUCCGGGUCUAGUGGCGCACGGGUGCGGAACGCGUGGGAACCUGCCCGUAGGUUCGGAAUAACUCCCCGAAAGGGGUGCUAAUACCGGAUAAUGUCUUCGGACCAAAGAUUUAUCGCCUUUGGAUGGGCCCGCGUUGGAUUAGCUAGUUGGUAGGGUAAAAGCCUACCAAGGCGUCGUUCCAUAGCUGGUCUGAGAGGAUGGUCAGCCACACUGGGACUGAGACACGGCCCAGACUCCUAGGGGAGGCAGCAGUGGGGAAUAUUGGACAGUGGGCGAAAGCCUGAUCCAGCAAUGCCGCGUGAGUGAUGCAGGCCUUAGGGUUGUAAAGCUCUUUUACCCGGGAUGAUAAUGACGGUACCGGGAGAAUAAGCGCCGGCUAACUCCGUG